rnacentral:rRNA from 1 species
UGGGGAAUAUUGCACAAUGGGCGAAAGCCUGAUGCAGCAACGCCGCGUGAGUGAUGAAGGCCUUCGGGUUGUAAAGCUCUGUCUUUUGGGACGAUAAUGACGGUACCAAAGGAGGAAGCCACGGCUAACUACGUGCCAGCAGCCGCGGUAAUACGUAGGUGGCAAGCGUUGUCCGGAUUUACUGGGCGUAAAGGAUGCGUAGGCGGAUUUUUAAGUGAGAUGUGAAAUACCCGGGCUUAACUUGGGUGCUGCAUUUCAAACUGGGAAUCUAGAGUGCGGGAGAGGAGAAUGGAAUUCCUAGUGUAGCGGUGAAAUGCGUAGAGAUUAGGAAGAACACCAGUGGCGAAGGCGAUUCUCUGGACCGUAACUGACGCUGAGGCAUGAAAGCGUGGGUAGCAAACAGGAUUAGAUACCCUGGUAGUCCACGCCGUAAACGAUGAGUACUAGGUGUAGGAGGUAUCGACCCCUUCUGUGCCGCAGUUAACACAAUAAGUACUCCGCCUGGGAAGUACGAUCGCAAGGUUAAAACUCAAAGGAACUUGACGGGGUCAUAGCUGUUUCCU